UACGGGGGGGGCAAGCGUUGUUCGGAAUUACUGGGCGUAAAGGGCUCGUAGGCGGCCAACUAAGUCAGACGUGAAACCCCUCGGCUUAACCGGGGAACUGCGUCUGAUACUGGAUGGCUUGAAUCCGGGAGAGGGAUGCGGAAUUCCAGGUGUAGCGGUGAAAUGCGUAGAUAUCUGGAGGAACACCGGUGGCGAAGGCGGCAUCCUGGACCGGCAUUGACGCUGAGGAGCGAAAGCCAGGGGAGCAAACGGG
rnacentral:rRNA from 1 species